GACGAACGCUGGCGGCGUGCUUAACACAUGCAAGUCGAACGGAAAGGCCCUGCUUUUGUGGGGUGCUCGAGUGGCGAACGGGUGAGUAACACGUGAGUAACCUGCCCUUGACUUUGGGAUAACUUCAGGAAACUGGGGCUAAUACCGGAUAGGAGCUCCUGCUGCAUGGUGGGGGUUGGAAAGUUUCGGCGGUUGGGGAUAGACUCGCGGCUUAUCAGCUUGUUGGUGGGGUAGUGGCUUACCAAGGCUUUGACGGGUAGCCGGCCUGAGAGGGUGACCGGCCACAUUGGGACUGGGAUACGGCCCAGACUCCUACGGGAGGCAGCAGUGGGGAAUAUUGCACAAUGGGCGGAAGCCUGAUGCAGCAACGCCGCGUGCGGGAUGACGGCCUUCGGGUUGUAAACCGCUUUCGCCUGUGACGAAGCGUGAGUGACGGUAAUGGGUAAAGAAGCACCGGCUAACUACGUG
rnacentral:rRNA from 1 species